rnacentral:rRNA from 1 species
UACGUAGGGGGCAAGCGUUGUCCGGAUUUAUUGGGCGUAAAGAGCGUGUAGGCGGUUAGGUAGGUCCGUUGUGAAAACUGGAGGCUCAACUUCCAGACGUCGACGGAAACCGUGUGGCUAGAGUCCGGAAGAGGAGAGUGGAAUUCCUGGUGUAGCGGUGAAAUGCGCAGAUAUCAGGAAGAACACCAAUGGCGAAGGCAGCUCUCUGGGACGGUACUGACGCUGAGACGCGAAAGCGUGGGGAGCGAACAGG